rnacentral:lncRNA from 1 species
UUUCGCGCCUCCGCCCCUGGGUUGGCGGACCGGGGAAGGAGCGAAGAUGGCGGAGUGAGGCGUGCCCCGGGCAGCUGGCCUGCGGGCCCGGGGCAGGCCUCCCGCGAGAAGCGGAGUGCUUGUGCUGGACCGUGUGAGGAACCAUAUCACACAAGAUGAAAAAUUUCCUGACCUUAGGUGCUUUUAUAUUCAGCUCAACAUUCUGAACUCAGGACUUGGCCCGAAUUCCUAUGUGGACUUCUCAAUGAGGCGUCCUGGUUCUUCCAUCCUGUUACUUUCCCCAAUGAGAUGCAGAUGUCUUUCUACCGAUUACCUCCAUGGUUUAGGAUGCAAAGACUGCCUUUCUUUUACUUCACGUCAGACUCAACACAGGAAAGCCGGGAGGAUGCAGCCGUCCUGUUGACUUCAGGAAGAAAAUAAACAAUGGACUUGGGUCUUCUGCAGCUUUUUAGUUAGAAAGACAGUGUUUGCAAGUAGAAGGAAGAUGUUGAAUUUGAAACAAGUACUUAGGUUCUGUGGCGUGUGUUUUCUUUUUAAAAGAUCCAAACAAGAAGACUGAACAAAAUACCAAGUGUGGGUGACUUCAGGUUUUUUUUUAAUGUCUUCCAAUUUUAACACUAUUAUAAGCACAGUUGACCGCAGUAAGUUCCAAAUAUUUAAUAUAAUUUGAAGUGAAAGAAAUGUUAUCUAAAUUCUGGCUCACUCUUUGACAGAUUUCCUGGACAAAAACAAGAUACGAUAAAAGCAGAAACCAAGGGUUGGUUUUGUAUGGGAGUGAAACCAUUACAGUUUUAUGUGUAUAAAUCUACAUUUUUAAACAAGAUUUUUCUCUUGGAGAAGAAACCUGUUGUUUAUAAGAAGGCUUUGGACAGUUUAAUAGUCUUAAAUGUUCUGCUUUGCUGUUCUAGUCCUUCUCAGGAAGGCCCAGCUGGGCCUGUGGCUAGUUCAGAAUGGGAGGAAACAUAGGCUGGGACAAUGCUCACCCUGAACUGCCAGCAUGUGGGAGACCAAGGCAGGAAGAGCAGAUGUUCAGGGCCAGCUUGGACAUCAUGAUGAGACUCAAAACCAGCAGGAAAAAAAAACAGAGUCCAGUAACACCCUCUUUUAUAUUCCUUUUGUGGAAUCAUAUGUAGGAUGUGAGACUGGGUUGGAAGGGAACUGGCAUAUGUGGUCUUGAGUUAAGGUGAUGUGGUGGACCCUGGUGUGUAACUGGCCUUCACCUUUGGACAUAGAGGAAUGAAGGAAAAACUAAGGCUUGGCGUAUAAAUCCUUUCUUCUAAGAAAUAGAAGCAAAGCUGUCUAAUGCAGCAUUGUCUGACUUUCCAACAUUUUUACAUUAUGUAGUUGCAUUUUUUAUAAAAAUAUAAAUAAGUUCCUUCAACCCAAAA